rnacentral:rRNA from 1 species
CCUACGGGCGGCAGCAGUGAGGAAUAUUGGUCAAUGGGCGAGAGCCUGAACCAGCCAAGUCGCGUGAGGGAGUACUGCCCUAUGGGUUGUAAACCUCUUUUGUCGGGGAGCAAAAGCCGGACGUGUCCGGCUGUGAGAGUACCCGAAGAAAAAGAAUCGGCUAACUUCGUGCCAGCAGCCGCGGUAAUACGGAGGAUGCGAGCGUUUUCCGGAUUUAUUGGGUUUAAAGGGUGCGCAGGCGGAUUUUUAAGUCAGCGGUAAAAUCGGGGGGCUCAACCCCAUCCCGCCGUUGAAACUGGCGAUCUUGAGUGGGCGAGAGGUAUGCGGAAUGCGUGGUGUAGCGGUGAAAUGCAUAGAUAUCACGCAGAACCCCGAUUGCGAAGGCAGCAUACCGGUGCACAACUGACGCUCAGGCACGAAAGCGUGGGUAUCGAACAGGAUUAGAUACCCGAGUAGUC